rnacentral:rRNA from 1 species
GGAGUUAGCCGGUGCUUCUUCUGCGAGUAACGUCACAGAUGUAAGGUAUUAACUUACACCCUUUCCUCCUCGCUGAAAGUGCUUUACAACCCGAAGGCCUUCUUCACACACGCGGCAUGGCUGCAUCAGGGUUUCCCCCAUUGUGCAAUAUUCCCCACUGCUGCCUCCCGUAGGAGUCUGGGCCGUGUCUCAGUCCCAGUGUGGCUGAUCAUCCUCUCAGACCAGCUAGGGAUCGUCGCCUAGGUGAGCCUUUACCUCACCUACUAGCUAAUCCCACCUGGGCUUAUCCAUCAGCGCAAGGCCCGAAGGUCCCCUGCUUUCCCCCGUAGGGCGUAUGCGGUAUUAGCAGUCGUUUCCAACUGUUAUCCCCACAAAUGGGCAAAUUCCCAGGCAUUACUCACCCGUCCGCCGCUCGUCAUCUUCAAAAGCAAGCUUUUGAAAUGUUACCGCUCGACUUGCAUGUGUUAGGCCUGCCGCCAGCGUUCAAUCUGAGCCAGAAUCGAACCCUGA